CCUACGGGGGGCAGCAGUAGGGAAUCUUCCACAAUGGGCGAAAGCCUGAUGGAGCAACGCCGCGUGGGUGAAGAAGGUCUUCGGAUCGUAAAACCCUUUUUUUCGAGAAGCAAGUGCGUGAGAGUAACUGUUCACGUUUCGACGGUAUCUAACCAGAAAGCCACGGCUAACUCCGUGCCAGCAGCCGCGGUAAUGCGGCGGGGGCAAACGUUAUCCGGUUUUAUUGGGCGUAAAGGGAACGCAGGCGUUCUUUUAAGUCUGAUGUGAAAGCCUUCGGCUUAACCGGAGUAGUGCAUUGGAAACUGGGAGACUUGAGAGCAGGAGAGGAGAGUGGAACGCCAUGUGUAGCGGUGAAAUACGUAGAUAUAUGGAAGAACACCAGUGGCGAAAGCGGCUCUCUGGUCGGUAACUGACGCUGAGGUACGAAAGCGUGGGUAGCAAACAGGAUUAGAUACCCCGGUAGUC
rnacentral:rRNA from 1 species